GGGCUAGCCAGCCGGUUGAGCACCGGACUGCUGGGGCCAUCCUUCAGCUAGUUGGUGAAAGCUUCUUAAGAAUAAAGUCACAGGGAGGAGAACAGAGCUGAGAGAUGGAGAGAAACCAAACAGCGAUGACAGAGUCCCUGGAACCACCCAGGCCUCAUGCCAGCAGCACUAUCUCUGGACUUUACAAUUAUUCAGAGGACUGGCUGGGUGGCUCUGCUUUGGGCCACAGGGUUGGUUCAGGUUUGCCGCAAAUGUCUUGCAUUCUAAGACCAGGGGCGAUUCAGGGCAUGUCGUUCUUACCGCAGCUGGAAGAAGCGCAGGAGCCCAGUUCUAUUCACAUCAUAACUCCUAACAUUACACAGGCCAAGUGUCUGGAACCAAACCCCCGAUGUCUCCAAGGUAUACCUAUGUACACUGAACAGGCCAGCAAGCAGGAGGCCUCAGAUGCCCAACUUCAUCUCAGAGCUGAUUUCUUUUGCCAGGGUUGGAACCCAACAGUAGCCAUCUGCUGGCACGUGGAGCAUCAGGAAGAAGCAGAAAUGGGCAGAGCCAAGGCAGGUGUCCUGGUCCUAGCUGGAUUUAAGCCUGAAGCUUGUCACCCCUUGGAUUUAUAGAUAUCAAUACAUUUCUUCCCCCGUCACUACCCUUAACUAGCUGCCUGAGCAUGUUUUGGUUUAAUGGCAAAACCAUUUCUUCUCGAGUUGGCAAAUUUCCUUCCAGCGUCUCAAGGCCACCUUAACCACCCUUCCCGUGAUGGGGUGAGCCCUCUGUCCCCUGGCCAAGUUGAGCAGGACCACGCUGAAUGGACCUGUUUCCAUGUCACCUCAAUGACAGGACCUGUCUUCCCUUUAACACUGUAGCCAGGGCCCAGCAUCCAGUAGGCGCUCACUAAAUGCUGAUUGGAGAAAU
rnacentral:lncRNA from 1 species